rnacentral:snRNA from 1 species
AGAUGUGAGGGCAAGCUAUCUGUGACAUCUGUCACCCCACUGGUCACCUGGGUUAUUUGGCUGGUCUGAUUACCUAGGCAGGUAGGUGGCCCCUUCCUCCCUUACUACUCCUUGUGUAUCCCUCACUGCUUGACUGAAGAGAUCAACUUUCCCUGAAUAGACACACUGAUUUUGGGUCAAGUUAUACAUGUAGCUGUGCUCUCUUGCUAGAACCUCCAAACACGUUCUCAAAAUAUUUUCUAGUAGGAUUUCACUGAGUCAAAGAAGACUGUGAGCAAUCUUUGAAAUACAUGCAAUUCUAAAAGAGGAUCUGUAAAU